rnacentral:rRNA from 1 species
GUACACUCCUGCGGGAGGCAGCAGUGGGGAAUAUUGCACAAUGGGCGCAAGCCUGAUGCAGCCAUGCCACGUGUAUGAAGAAGGCCUUCGGGUUGUAAAGUACUUUCAGCGGGGAGGAAGGCGAUAAGGUUAAUAACCUUGUCGAUUGACGUUACCCGCAGAAGAAGCACCGGCUAACUCCGUGCCAGCAGCCGCGGUAAUACGGAGGGUGCAAGCGUUAAUCGGAAUUACUGGGCGUAAAGCGCACGCAGGCGGUCUGUCAAGUCGGAUGUGAAAUCCCCGGGCUCAACCUGGGAACUGCAUUCGAAACUGGCAGGCUAGAGUCUUGUAGAGGGGGGUAGAAUUCCAGGUGUAGCGGUGAAAUGCGUAGAGAUCUGGAGGAAUACCGGUGGCGAAGGCGGCCCCCUGGACAAAGACUGACGCUCAGGUGCGAAAGCGUGGGGAGCAAACAGGAUUAGAUACCCGAGUAGUCCCA